GCCUAGGUGGCUCAGUCAGUUGAGCAUCUGACUUCAGCUCAGGUCAUGAUCUUGUGAUUUAUGAGUUCAAGCCCCAUGUCAGGCU
rnacentral:tRNA from 1 species